rnacentral:rRNA from 1 species
GCCUACGCCCAUACCACCCUGAAUCGCCCGAUCUCGUCUGAUCUCGGAAGCUAAGCAGGGACGGGCUUGGUUAGUACCUGGAUGGGAGACCGCCUGGGAAUACCAGGU